UACAGAGGGUGCGAGCGUUAAUCGGAAUUACUGGGCGUAAAGCGCGCGUAGGCGGCUUUGCAAGUCGGUUGUGAAAUCCCCAGGCUCAACCUGGGAACUGCAUUCGAGACUGCAUUGCUAGAGUAUGGGAGAGGGAAGUGGAAUUUCCGGUGUAGAGGUGAAAUUCGUAGAUAUUAGGAAGAACACCAGUGGCGAAGGCGGCUCACUGGCCCGGUACUGACGCUGAGGCGCGAAAGCGUGGGGAGCAAACAGG
rnacentral:rRNA from 1 species